AUAUUGGGCAAUGGGCGAAAGCCUGACCCAGCCAUGCCGCGUGCAGGAAGACGGCCUUCUGGGUUGUAAACUGCUUUUGAUCGGGAACAAAGAGGGCAUGCGUGGCAAGUUGAGUGUACCGAUAGAAUAAGCACCGGCUAACUCCGUGCCAGCAGCCGCGGUAAUACGGAGGGUGCAAGCGUUGUCCGGAUUUAUUGGGUUUAAAGGGUGCGUAGGCGGCCUUUUAAGUCAGUGGUGAAAUCCUGCAGCUUAACUGUAGAACAGCCAUUGAUACUGGAAGGCUUGAGUACAGACGAGGUAGGCGGAAUUUAUGGUGUAGCGGUGAAAUGCAUAGAUACCAUAAAGAACCCCUAUUGCGAAGGCAGCUUACUAGGCUGUAACUGACGCUGAGGCACGAAAGCGUGGGGAUCAAACAGG
rnacentral:rRNA from 1 species